UAAAUGCCUGGGGGAUGAAGGUCAGCAUCUGCUCUGUCAUUUGAAUUUGAUAUUAGAAAAUUUAAAUCUGAAAAGAGAAUCUCGAAGUGGGUAUCAGAAGAAGAGAAGAUGUGAGGGACAAAAGGAUAGGAUCUACAGUGCUGUUACAUCCUCACUGGCAUCAACAAUUUAGACUCAUCUCUAUAUCCAUGUGUAACUUGUUACAGUCUGCAGUCAUAAGCUGGCCUCAACACACUGAAGUAUAUUCAGCAUUAUAAACACACUGAAACACCAAAAAGGCUGAGAUGCACAUAAUUUGAAGAGUGAAAAUGGCUCGAGAGCAUGAAGUCUCAUUA
rnacentral:lncRNA from 10 species